UACGUAGGGCGCAAGCGUUGUCCGGAAUUACUGGGCGUAAAGGGCGCGUAGGCGGCCUACUAAGUCGGACGUGAAAUCCCUCGGCUCAACCGGGGAACUGCGUCUGAUACUGGAUGGCUUGAAUUCGGGAGAGGGAUGCAGAAUUCCAGGUGUAGCGGUGAAAUGCGUAGAUAUCUGGAGGAAUACCGGUGGCGAAGGCGGCAUCCUGGACCGACAUUGACGCUGAACGGCGAAAGCUAGGGGAGCAAACGGG
rnacentral:rRNA from 1 species